rnacentral:rRNA from 1 species
AUUGAGCGCUGGCGGCAGGCCUAACACAUGCAAGUCGAGCGGAUGAAGGGAGCUUGCUCCUGGAUUCAGCGGCGGACGGGUGAGUAAUGCCUAGGAAUCUGCCUGGUAGUGGGGGAUAACGUCCGGAAACGGGCGCUAAUACCGCAUACGUCCUGAGGGAGAAAGUGGGGGAUCUUCGGACCUCACGCUAUCAGAUGAGCCUAGGUCGGAUUAGCUAGUUGGUGGGGUAAAGGCCUACCAAGGCGACGAUCCGUAACUGGUCUGAGAGGAUGAUCAGUCACACUGGAACUGAGACACGGUCCAGACUCCUACGGGAGGCAGCAGUGGGGAAUAUUGGACAAAGGGCGAAAGCCUGAUCCAGCCAUGCCGCGUGUGUGAAGAAGGUCUUCGGAUUGUAAAGCACUUUAAGUUGGGAGAAAGGGCAGUAAGUUAAUACCUUGCUGUUUUGACGUUACCAACAGAAUAAGCACCGGCUAACUUCGUG